GGCGGCCGGCGUGACGCGGUUGGCUGAGGUCACCGUGACGUCACCGGCGCCCCCGGGCUGUCAGCUGGAGCCGGCCGCGCCGCCGAGGCAGCCGGCCUUAAAGGGGGCCCCGCGCGCAGGGGGAGGCCCCGGGUGGACCCACCGGCGGGAGGCGGCGGCGGCUGGCCCCCGGCCAGGUGGGACCCUGCCAGCGCCCGGAUGCCUGAGCUGCCGCCCCGCUGCCCUGCUCCUGGCUACCCAGCACCAGUUCUUCAGUGGCAAGCUUUAUGUCCUCUUCUAGUAGCUAAAGCUGCCAGUUGAAGAACUGUUGAAUGUAGCCACUCUCUUCUCGUCACCGAGGCGCUGCACAUCAGCUGCACCUGUGCCCCGAGAGACCGGGAUGAGUAAAUCAGCAGCGUCCUGAGGAUUGACCCCUCCGAGAGCUGAGGCUGAGGAGGGCGGGGAUGAAGAGCGCGCCUUGCAGCAUCCAGGCAGAGCCGUGGCUGGAGGAGCUGUAACGGGGCUGUACAAUGGGGAGCGGGGUCCCCGCCUGCCGGCGGGGUGGCGUUUAACUGGGACGGCUGGAGAAGGCUUUGAAAGAGACAUUAAACUUUCUGUUUUCCUCAA